AUACGUAGGUGGCAAGCGUUGUCAGGAUUUACUGGGUGUAAAGGGCGCGUAGGCGGGCAGGCAAGUCAGAUGUGAAAUCUCCGGGCUCAACCCGGAAAUUGCAUUUGAAACUGCAGGUCUUGAGUAUCGGAGAGGCAAGCGGAAUUCCUAGUGUAGCGGUGAAAUGCGUAGAUAUUAGGAGGAACACCAGUGGCGAAGGCGUCUUGCGGGACGACAACUGACGCUGAGGCGCGAAAGCGUGGGGAGCAAACAGGAUUAGAUACCCUGGUAGUCCACGCUGUAAACGAUGAAUACUAGGUGUGGGGGGACUGACCCCCUCCGUGCCGCAGUUAACACAAUAAGUAUUCCACCUGGGGAGUACGAUCGCAAGAUUGAAACUCAAAUGAAUUGACGGGG
rnacentral:rRNA from 1 species